GAUGAACGCUGGCGGCGUGCCUAAUACAUGCAAGUCGAGCGAACAGAUGAGGAGCUUGCUCCUCUGACGUUAGCGGCGGACGGGUGAGUAACACGUGGAUAACCUACCUAUAAGACUGGGAUAACUUCGGGAAACCGGAGCUAAUACCGGAUAAUAUAUUGAACCGCAUGGUUCAAUAGUGAAAGACGGUUUUGCUGUCACUUAUAGCUGGAUCCGCGCCGCAUUAGCUAGUUGGUAAGGUAACGGCUUACCAAGGCAACGAUUCGUAGCCGAACUGAGAGGGUGAUAGGCCACACUGGAACUGAGACACGGUCCAGACUCCUACGGGAGGCAGCAGUAGGGAAUCUUCCGCAAUGGGCGAAAGCCUGAAGGAGCAACGCAGCGUGAGUGAUGAAGGUAUUCGGAUCGUAAAACUCUGUUAUUAGGGAAGAACAAAUGUGUAAGUAACUAUGCACGUCUUGACGGUACCUAAUCAGAAAGCCACGGCUAACUACGUG
rnacentral:rRNA from 1 species